rnacentral:rRNA from 1 species
GACGAACGCUGGCGGCGUGCUUAACACAUGCAAGUCGAACGGAAAGGCCCUGCUUGCAGGGUACUCGAGUGGCGAACGGGUGAGUAACACGUGGGUGAUCUGCCCUGCACUUCGGGAUAAGCUUGGGAAACUGGGUCUAAUACCGGAUAGGAGCCAUCUUUAGUGUGGUGGUUGGAAAGUUUUUUCGGUGUAGGAUGAGCUCGCGGCCUAUCAGCUUGUUGGUGGGGUAAUGGCCUACCAAGGCGGCGACGGGUAGCCGGCCUGAGAGGGUGUACGGCCAAAUUGGGACUGAGAUACGGCCCAGACGCCUACGGGAGGCAGAAGUGGGGAAUAUUGCACAAUGGGCGCAAGCCUGAUGCAGCGACGCCGCGUGGGGGAUGAAGGCCUUCGGGUUGUAAACUCCUUUCGCUAGGGACGAAGCUUUUUGUGACGGUACCUAGAUAAGAAGCACCGGCUAACUACGUG